GAAUGAUAUUUGAAGUAAAAGUAAUUGCACAGCCAGACACCAUGCAAAAGUAAAGACUUCCUUUUAAAGUGAAUGAUACACUUUUUUCAUAGUGUAUCAUUAUUAAAAGUGAUCACAAAU